CGCGCUGUCAUGCGGCGGGCAGCCUCUGCGCUGGCCGCCGCCCUGGGCGCCUGCUUGGUCCGGCACAGGUUCUUCCGCCGCCGCGCUUCCACCCGGGGGCUUCUCCCGGCCGGCCGGGCGCCGCUUUCAGCGGGAGGCCGCCCCCCCGGAACCGCUCUCCCCGCCUGCCCAGAGACCCUCUGCAGCCCCGAGAGGGCGGAAAUUGGGGCCCUCCUUUGCCCCCGCCCCCAGCAAGUCAGCAGAAGGAAAUCAAGGCCCGCAGCUGCCACUCGGUUACCCCGCAGGGACCCCGGGGCCCGUUGGCUUUUCCUGUCCGUAGGGACAAAGCAGGUUAGGAUGCGGGGGGCUGGCGGGGCAGCCUAGUUGUGACUUUUGUGCCUGCCGCCCCGCAGUGUACGUGGCACUGUACACACAGCCGCGGCCCCCAAGGCAGGCCAGUGGCAGUGUGAAUCCGACUCAGCGCAGCAAAGGACGCCAAGGCACAAAGGAGGAGGAAGGAUAACGGGGGACGAGAGUUGGGACAGUGAGAGAUUACCGUCCUCUCAGCAUCCUGAUCCUCUUUGGGUGUGUUUUUUUAUAAUGUAAUAUAUGAGGGUCGGGUUGAGAGUGUCCAGAAGACAGACCUGGCUGUACCCCUGUGUAUUAUGGGUACCCACUGCAACGCAGUGCUUCUUCAUUGGUGACUGCUCCAACAGCAUGGUGUUGUGUCAAAACAUCAUCCUGUCACAAUGUGAUGAAAUUUCCCAAGUUCUCAAACUUGACUAUGGGACAGUCCUAUUUAAAAAAACAGGGCUAGCCUGCAAAAUCUGGGACAGAUGAUAAUGAACCCUUGUGCACUGCUCACCUCCAUCCUGUGGUACAUACUCUAAGCUGUAAUGAACCCAGAGCUGCGAGGGACCUAAGUGUCACUACUAUGAACAGCCCUGGCAUGGGGUGAGGGGAGGAUAAAGCAAGAAGCACGGUAAAAUGGGAGGCAGUAGGAGCCAAAAUACUAGGCAGGUAUAAUUAAUUAUAAUUUUACAGUGCCAAAGUAUGCUAGGCUCCAUCCAGUACAGAUUAAAAAGACAUAGUCCCUGCUCUGAAAGAAUUUACACUCUAAAUUGUAUGUGACAACAAGCACAUGGGUUGCGGCAACAGGAUCAUGCAGUUAAGGCAUGUACACAUCAUGCUAGAACAGGUAGUUGAUUGUAAAUAAUAAAUAGGUAUACAAAUGUUAUGAUUCACUUGUGGGUAUCAGUGUGAAAGUGGGUCUUGAGAGAUUUCAGUGAGAGAGUGGCUUGGCAGGUCAGUUCUGGGAGGACAGGUAAUGCAUAGAGGCCAGCAGCAUGGAAAAUCAUACAGAGACAGCCAUGCAAAAAGCAAACGGGUAAUCAAGGCCAUGUCAUGGGGGGAGGGAGGAGGGUAUGAGUGGACACAGUCGUUGAGAUAAGGGACUAGGCUGGAUGUGUAGGCAUGGGUGGAGUUAUGCAGAAUCUUGAAAGCAAGGACAAGAAAUAUAAGCUUGAUGUGGUGGAACAGGGAGAGCCAGUGGAAGGAUUCAGAAGGGCGGGAUAUUGUCAGGUUGACUAGCUAAGAAGAUGAUUUUAGCAGCUGUGCUUUGUAUGGAUUGAAGAAAGUGAUGUGAGUGUGGAGGAGGUCAGAGAAAAAGCAGUUGCAGUAAUCAAGACAGGACAUAAGGGCAUGGAUAAGAGUUUUGCCUAUCUGGACAGAGGGAAAAGGUCAGAUCUUUGAAAUGUGGUAGAAGAAACAGCAAGACUAAAACUGAUAAAGUGAUGCAGAUGCCCAAAAAGGUAUAUGGUGUGGAGCCUGAUGAUUAAAACAAAAGUACAUUUUUAUAGGAAACUGCCCUGUUUUUAGUGGUUCAUUCCUGAAAAAAUAAAUCUGUUCAUCGACUGAUUGUAACCACUUUUGGUAGGGAGCAAAACAGAUUCACUUCAGUACAAUCUAAUUAGUUUUCACUCUUUCUAAAAGGUUAGUGGACAUGGAGGAAACUAAAUAUUUUUUGAGUUCUGGCUUACUUUUGACCCUAUAUUUUUCUUUUUAAUCAGGAAUUUUUAAUCAUAAAACUCUGGAAAAUCCUGAACUUUAUUAUUAAAUGUUACAUUUCUCUUUGGUAUGUUAAAUUAGUUACUACUGUUAUGUAGGCCCAGUAUUAAACAAAUGAGUUUUAGGCUGGGGUGUAUUUUGUAGCCAGGAGCAUUUUUUCACUAAUCUGACACCACACCUUUCUAAGUAGAACAUAAAAUCAAACUUUUUUUUUUCAAAGAUGUUCUCCUGAGACAAGUUUUCCCAUGAUUUCAUUCUAGGGUUCUGUGGAUUAUUUAAAAUUUUUUCCUCCUCUCUGAAUCCCCAACCUCAUUGCAACCUCUGCCUUUGCAUCCAAGGAUAACUGAAUGGACUCCCUUUGAACACCAUUAGCACCACUUCAUCAGUUCUUUAGGCUGACUUAUCUCAGCACUGGUGCUUUCUGCUUCUGUGUACAUCAACAAGCACAGCAGGGCUCCAAUCGUGAUAGGGACCUGCCUGAACAUUACUGUAAUUUAUAUAUGAAAUACAAUAAAUUGAGGGAUAUUGAAAGAACUGCCAGGCCUAUCCAUCAUACAUUUGUUGAGGGCUUAAAAAUGCAGCAUUAAAGGCAAAGGUAGAGUAAAGAAAGAAAAGAAAGGUACAUCUCUUCUGUCCAAACUGCUACCUCUGGCAUUUUCUGUAGCCGAGGGCAGAAACCACAUGAAUUUUGAAGAGGGUUAGAAGGCUGGUUGGAAAGCCAAUUCCAGGCAUUGGUCAGUUAAUUAAGGAUUUAAAGAGACGUCAAAAGCCUCUGCAGUUUGGGGCCUUGAAAUGUGAGCGCAGAGGUGGGGAAAAUUCUAUUUGUGGGUGCUUCUCCUCUGAACAGCUGCUUGGAAAGAAAUACAUGACCCAGUCCUGCAAGCCCUCUGCAUGUAAAGCUUGCAUGAAUUUCAGUGGGAGUUACAUUUGUGGAGGACUUGCUUGAUAAGGCCCAAAGUUUCUCCUGAAAAAAUUCAUUAACCAACUGAAAGGCAAAGCCACAAUGUAACAUAACAAGCAAGGAAAAUUGUCAAACCAGGCGAUUGGGGAAAAGAAGUCAAGACAGAAGUGGGGGAAGGGUGAAAUAAAAGAGAACUCAAUUCACCAAAACUGGAUUAGCAAGGUGCAAGCCACAUUCACAAGAGGUGUUUGCUGUAAAGGACAUCUUUAAUCUUCAUUCAUCAGGGGCUCCACAGAAGGACUGCUGGCAAAGGCUGCCUAAGGGGGUGCAAUAAAUCAGCAGAAUUUCCAUCUACCGUAAGCAUACCAUUCUCUAGAGCUAGUGCUGAUUACUUUGAGGUUUCUGCGUGCUGUCUGUUAGCAACUAGCUGAGUUGAGCCAUUACACCUUUGGGUAGACUUUCUGCUUACAAAAGCCCUGCCUAUGCAGUACUUGAUUGAAAUUAGCCCAGGGAGCAUAUUUCCUUGUAGCAAAGAGGUUCAGCCUGAUCUCAAGUUGGAAAUUCAAAAAAACAAAAACUGAGGUGAGAGAAAGGAAACCAGAAUUGUAUUUGUUUAAAAGAUCUGAGAUGAGGGGAGUAGCAUCUACCAAACAGGAUCCAUGGGGAAGCCAGAGCUCCCACAGCAUCAAGUCCCUCACUUCAAUUUCCUCUGAGAAAUCCCUUUUGUGUAUUCACUGUCCGAUUACUUUUUGGGGGCAGGGAAGUUUCAAAAUUCUUCUUCUGCUUUUAAAAUCUUUUAUAUUUUAAGUCAGAUUCAUCUCUGGGUAAUUCCAUUGACUUCAGUGGAUUUGCAGUGGGGAUGAAUUUGGCCCAUGGGGGCAGAUUGUAAGGGGUGUCUGUGUGUAGGGAAGUUCUGCUGGAAAGUGCUUUGGGAGGAGUGAAGUGUCUGCAUCACUUGUCAUCAACUGACUGAGUCCUGUGGACACUUGAGAUGAUAUCAUAUUAUUCUGGAAUAGAUUUCAACCAGCAGAUUUAAAUGCAGUUGAGAAGUGCUGGUUGAAAGUGAAUCCGUGUAUGAACUGUAAAAGAGACUGUUUAUUCAUUGUUCCAUAUAUAUAUAUAUGUAUGUGUGUGUGUAUAUAGUAAGUCUGUGGCUGUACCAGCACAGUUCACAUUGUCUUUGCUAAGUUACUUAUGUAAAACCCCAAAGGAUUAAGGAGAAGUAUGUGGAGUCAGGAUAAACACAGAAAACCAAGCCAAGUUCAUUGCAAACAUGAAAGAAGGGAGAAAAAAUCACAAUGAAGAGAAAGAAUUAAAGGCUGUGAACUGUGAUGUAUUCCUGUCAUAGCUUGGACAAAGGGCAUAUAAUAUUCCAAAGAAUCAAGCUUAAUGGACAGCCUUUGGAAGGCAAAACAGUAACAUGAAAAGCAAGCUGCUUCUUUGCUUAAAAGUGUUUUUAACACCAAUACAUUGCCACCCCAUGACCUAAAGAGAUGGAGGGGAUGCUAAAAAUUACACAGGAAUGUAUAAAAGAAAAAGCCCAAGCUUGCUAUCAUAUUGAGAUGCAUGGAAGCAAACCCAGCCAAAUACAUAUUAAAUAGACUGUAAAGAAGCUGAACUGGCACAUGAGUAACAGUCAUGCUGCAAGUAAAAGAGGUGAAGAAUGGACUAGUUUUAUGACUCAUGCUGAUAUUAAAGAGAGCAAAGGCUAGCUGCUAGUUGUAUAUCUUUACAAUUCCAUGUAAGAUAACAAAGUCAUAUGUACUUAUAGUCCCUACAUAUUGCAAAUAGAGAGCUUUUGCAGUAUCUACUUGCUUUGUUUGAUUAAAAGCAAGAAUGUUUAGAGAGGUAAGUAUGAGACUUUUGUUCUGCAGUCGACAGAAUAUGGCUGUGAUGACAAUAUCUCCGAAGCUCCCAAGAUUUUUCCUCAAUCCACCAAGAUAACCCCAACCUGACCAGGCACAUAGAAAAAGCACAUGAAUAUCACUCAUCUGAAGGAGCCAAAAAUCCUGACCAGUCAUACUGCUAGACCUUCCUUUUUGGUUAAACUUUUCCACAAUAAUUAGAAUAAUUCAGAAUGACUCUUAGAGCAAUUACCCAAGUUCAAUACACCCAAAAAAACCCUUACCCCAUGAGCAGUUUUUUACAAUCAGUAAAAGGAGAAAAGCCAAAGAAUUUUUUACAUUCACUAGGGACCUUGAUAGGCUAAUCUAUUAACUAGAAGGUGUUCCAAUAUUAUGGUGAUGAGCAAACUUACGAAACACUAGAAUGGGCUGGGAAACUAUUUUGUUCCUGCAAAAAAUGUCAAUUGAAAUUAAUUGUUUUGUUUUUGUCAACAAAAUUCUUUGAAACUUUUUAGGUUUUAUGUCAAAACCCAAACAUUGUGGGGGUUUUUCAUUUCUCAGCCACUGAACACUGAAUUUUUUAUUUUUUCUACAAAACCCUAGAAAUUUUCAACAAAAACAUUUUUCGCAAAAAUUUCAUUUUGUCAAAAAGCUAUUUUCUGUUAAAAACAAAACGUCAGUGGAAUGUUUUUGACCAGCACUACAACGCACUGAGAGAGAUAUUUAAUGGUUCUCUUAGCUGCGACAUCGCAGAAAGUGGUAAAAUAAUGUAUUACAAACAACAUAUCUGCAACUGUGACAUCUGUGUUUAUUUUUCAGCCAAGUAAAAUGAUAUAAACAUAGAUUCUGCCUCUUA